UACAGAGGGUGCAAGCGUUGCUCGGAAUUAUUGGGCGUAAAGGGGAGGUAGGUGGUCUCAUUUGUCUGAUGUGAAAGCCUUGGGCUUAACCCAAGAAGUGCGUCAGAAACGGUGAGACUGGAGUCUUGGAGAGGGUCGUGGAAUUCCCGGUGUAGCGGUGAAAUGCGUAGAGAUCGGGAGGAACACCAGAGGCGAAGGCGGCGACCUGGACAAGUACUGACACUCAACUCCGAAAGCGUGGGGAGCAAACAGG
rnacentral:rRNA from 1 species